GCAGCCUGCAACUCGGCUGCAUGAAGCUGGAAUCGCUAGUAAUCGCGGAUCAGAAUGCCGCGGUGAAUACGUUCCCGGGUCUUGUACACACCGCCCGUCACACCAUGGGAGCCGGAAACGCCCGAAGCCAGCGGCCCAACCGCAAGGGGGGAGCUGUCGAAGGCGGGUCCGGUGACCGGGGUGAAGUCGUAACAAGGUAUC
rnacentral:rRNA from 1 species